rnacentral:rRNA from 1 species
GACGAACCGAGCGAACGUUGUUCGGAAUCACUGGGCUUAAAGGGCGCGUAGGCGGGUGAUCAAGACCGGGGUGAAAUCCUCCAGCUUAACCGGAGAACUGACUCGGAUACUGGUUGCCUCGAGGAAGGUAGGGGUGUGUGGAACGUUCAGUGGAGCGGUGAAAUGCAUUGAUAUUGAACGGAACUCCGGUGGCGAAGGCGACACACUGGACCUUUUCUGACGCUGAGGCGCGACAGCUAGGGGAGCAAACGGG